UUAACUAUUCAGAAGAAAAAU
rnacentral:piRNA from 1 species